GAAGGUAGUCCGAGAUGGCUGAUGUGAGAACACAACAGGAUCUUUCCAAGAGGAUUAGAACAGUUUACUUACAUCGUAUUAAACAAGUCAGUCCAAAGGAAACGUAUUAAAGACUAAACCUUCAGUGAUACCAAACAAAAUGCAUCACCCUCCAACAUUAGAGGUGAUGAAUGAGUUCUCAUCUUAAAAAUGUUACAGGCUGAUCUUCUGAAAGAUUUAAAACCUGUAGCGUUAACUCAUGGUGACCAGCGAGCAGGCUUCUUCUUUAGUGCCUUUGAUAGCACCUUGGUGCCCUCUAGCUGCGUUUUCCCACACAACAACAUUUAAUUAUUGGCUGGAACUUUUUCAAGUCCUUAAUAUGCACAAGAACACACUCAUUAAAAGACUGACCUUCAGUCCUACUGAGUAAAUCAAACAGGUGGACCAAUGAGCUGUAAGAGUUCAACAAAAGCCCGACGAGUUUGGACGUCUUUAUAAAGUCUGUUUUGAGAUGGAGCAAUACGGAAUAGUAAAUAUGAAAAAGUUUUUUAUUUUUUAUUAAGUAGCUAAAAUGAAUUCAAGAUUUAAACUUUUAACAUCAAACUCGUGGCAAUUAAACUCAUCUUUAAUUCAGUUUUAAGGCAAGAAGCGUUCCUCCUUCAGCAGACGAAUGACAGCAUAAAGGGUUUUUGUUCAGAUUCUUAGAUUUUGGGAUUUGUAGAGAAACUGACAGAAACAAGUGUGUCUGUGUGUCUUGAUUGGUUUCUUUAGUUCAAAAUGUACUUUUUACCCAUAAUGAACACAAGGGGGCGCUGUCUUACCUGAAAUAACCGCGUUUUAAAGUCCCAAUCCAGAUUGGACUGUGAAUAGAAUUUCCCUUUGAUCUUGACUCUUUAAUCAAAACGCUGCUCAUCUCAAACAAUUCAAUAAGGUACUUUUUAAAAAAAAAUAAAGCUAAAGUCUGUUUACCUGACAGUUCUUUCAUAGAGAGAAAGAUGAAUCUCACCCUUAAAAUCAACUUUUUACCCACUUCUAAAACGGUCGAUGAAGGCUUCUUUUUUCAUUAUCACAAUAAUUCUGUUUGAAUGUAACCCUAUGCAUUGUGUACGUCUCCACAAAGACUCAAUGUGUUUGACAUUCUUAUUUCACCACCAUUCAUCUUUAUCUGAAAUGAUGACACCGACGGUUGAUUAAAGCUCUGGUCUUAACCAUAACACAUGUGAUCAAAUGCGCCAAUGGUGCCUUUUUAUUUUUCUUACAAAACAAAACAAAAACAUGUUGAAACAGUUCAAAUAUGACCACUUGGGAAGCAAAAUGCUAAACCAAGAUGACAGUGACCCGAAAUAUGAUAAUAAAAAAAAAAAAAGGAAU